UCCUGGUUUCCCAGGCAGUCUCACCAGAGUGCUCCCAAAGGGAUAGCAACUGGCGAAAGGGGUUGCGCUCGUUAAAGGACUUAACCUAACAUCUCACGACACGAGCUGACGACAGCCAUGCAGCACCUGUGCAUGUGCUCAAGGUUUCCCUUGAGAAGUCGUGUUUCCACGACGGUCACGUACAUGUCAAGCCCAGGUAAGGUUUCUCGCGUAGUGUCGAAUUAAACCACAUGUUCCACCGCUUGUGCGGGCCCCCGUCAAUUUCUUUAAGUUUUAAUCUUGCGACCGUACUCCCCAGGUGGAUCACUUAUCGCGUUAGCUGCGACACCCGGAUGAAAUCCGGACGUCUAGUGAUCAUCGUUUACUGCAUGGACUAC
rnacentral:misc_RNA from 1 species